GACGAACGCUGGCGGCGUGCCUAAUACAUGCAAGUAGAACGCACAGUUUAUACCGUAGCUUGCUACACCAUAGACUGUGAGUUGCGAACGGGUGAGUAACGCGUAGGUAACCUGCCUGGUAGCGGGGGAUAACUAUUGGAAACGAUAGCUAAUACCGCAUAAUAUUAAUUAUUGCAUGAUAAUUAAUUGAAAGGUGCAAUUGCACCACUACCAGAUGGACCUGCGUUGUAUUAGCUAGUAGGUGAGGUAACGGCUCACCUAGGCGACGAUACAUAGCCGACCUGCGAGGGUGGGCGGCCACCCUGGGACUGUGACACGGCCCAGACUCCUACGGGAGGCAGCAGUAGGGAAUCUUCGGCAAUGGGCGGAAGUCUGACCGCGCAACGCCGCGUGAGUGAAGAAGGUUUUCGGAUCGUAAAGCUCUGUUGUAAGAGAAGAACGGGUGUGAGAGUGGAAAGUUCACACUGUGACGGUAUCUUACCAGAAAGGGACGGCUAACUACGUG
rnacentral:rRNA from 1 species